rnacentral:lncRNA from 10 species
GUUUGUUAGCUAUCUAGAAGUUGUCCAGGGCUCCCUGAGGGAGGCCAGCACAAGAGCUCUGCCAUAAAAGGACAUUGGACAGAAGUGAAGAGUCCAAUCAGAAACUCUUUUUGAGAGACUGAACGCAAAGCAUUCAGAGAGUCAGCAGGCUGGAGAGGCCAAGACACACACACGAAGAAGGCAGGACACUCUUCUCCUCCUGCGGUUGGACUCCAGGCUCUAUGACCUUCAAACUCCAGGACUUACACCAGUUGCCCCUGGGCACUCAGGACUUCUGCUUCAGACUGACAGUUGCAGGACAGUGCAGCAUUUUAUUUUAAAGAUACCCCACAACGUAGGUGGCCAGUCCUGCUGCAGGUGCGGUUUCAAGCCUUUGGAGUUUGACCUUCUAGUCCAAGGUCAUUACAGCUGCAGGCAGAGGCUCCCGCGGGGAAAAGAGCAUUUCCUGGGACGCUGGAACUAAAUGAAUGGCCCACUCUCCAGUUCAGCCCUUGCCUCCUUCCCGACACAUAAAGUUCAAGAGCCACGGUCCUGAGUGCAUAGGAACAGCCCCAUCACCCUUCUCCCUCUGGGCAAGCUAGGAGCAGCGGUGCGAGGCUCCAUUUCUUCUUCUCUGCCUCCUGGACCUCAGCCACCUCUGCUCAGGCACAGGCCAGCUGCCCAGGCGUCCUCAUCUGGCGACCAGCUCUGACCGCAGCCCUGGCUUUUUCCCGAUCUCAUCCUUAGGGCAGAUACGCUCCCUUGAUUCUGAGGUCUUUGAACUUGCUGUGAAGCCACACUACCUGCGUCCCAGGGUCUCCAGCUUGCAGAUGGACUGUGGUGGGACUUCUCAGUCACCAAGAUUGAGAGCUGUACUAGCCUGGCAUGCAGACAGCAGCUUUAGAAUCAGAUCUGCCUUCUGGCGGCUUCCCACCUAGGAGCCAUGGGACCUUUGUGAAGUCACCAAUUGUGCUGUGGAUGCUUCAUUUGUGAAGGAGAACAGGACUGCCUUAUGAGGAAACUGAGGUACAGAUGGGAAACUUGCUCAAGUUCACACAGCAAUUAAGUGAUCAAGUCCAAGAGCAAAACCAGGCAGGCUGGCUCCAGAGCUCACGAUAGUCCACCACUGCUUUCCACCAUCACUACGGAAUCAAGUCCAUGAGGAUACUCACCUUAUGUCAGUUGCCUAAGUUGGAAAUUAUAGAAUCUUCAAAUUGGAAGGGACGUUAUCAUCCAAGAUUUCAACUUUCUACUCACUGCAAAAUCCCUUCUGGAACUUCCCAGAUUGAUGAAUUUUCAUCAGCUCUGCUUGAGUACUCCCAGUGACUUGGAAAAAAAACACUGUAAUAUGGAUAUGAAAUAUAAACUGUUCAUGGAUAAAUUAUUGCAUAAUAAAAACAUGCCUAAUGGCUACACUCCCCUAAUAUGUUCAUUUGACUUCCCAGGAUUUAGCAACCAGGGCCUGGAAGGCAGACAAAGGUAACUGGCCCCAUGUGAUAAAAACAG